GACGAACGCUGGCGGCGUGCUUAACACAUGCAAGUCGAGCGGUAAGGCCCUUUCGGGGGUACACGAGCGGCGAACGGGUGAGUAACACGUGGGUGACCUGCCCUUAGCUCUGGGAUAAGCCUGGGAAACUGGGUCUAAUACCGGAUAUGACUCCAUAACGCAUGUUGUGGGGUGGAAAGCCUUGUGCGGCUAGGGAUGGGCCCGCGGCCUAUCAGCUUGUUGGUGGGGUGAUGGCCACCAAGGCGACGACGGUAGCCGGCCUGAGAGGCGACCGGCCACACUGGGACUGAGACACGGCCCAGACUCCUACGGGAGGCAGCAGUGGGGAAUCUUGCGC
rnacentral:rRNA from 1 species